GGUGAGGCUGCAUUCUCGCGAUACCUGCCUCCCUGGGGUUUUCCAAAGUAGAGUGGCGGCCAUGAUGCUGGGCGGGGAUGGUUGCAAGGAGCCUGCUGCUCCCGACUAGCUGGCCUUGAGGGAGGGAUUUGGGGGGACGUUCCUAGCAGCUGCCGAAACCAUUUGUUUCAAGGAUCCUCCCUGUUUCUCCCCGGCUGGGCACUGGCUGCCAACUUAACGCUUUUCCUUGGUGGAACGGAAACCGGCAUCUGGAAGAACUGACGAGCUCCAGGACUAAAUCCACGGCUCAGUUGUGUUGAUUCUUUGCGACCCCAUGGACUGCAGCACACCAGGCUUCUGUGUCUCACCAACUCCCAGAGCUUGCUCAAACUCAUGUCCAUAGAGUCGGUGAUGUCAUCCAACCAUCUCAUCCUCUAUUCCUUUACUUACUAUUGACAUAAUCAUAACUGUGUGAUGAUUCAAGUCUCAUGUGAGUGGCGCAGCCACCACUGGACCCACGUUUUGACUGUGAAAAAGAAAAUCUCUUUAACACUCUACUACUUAACUUGUUAAUCCAACAACUUACUGGCCUCCUGCCUACUUCCCUGGUCAUGGGAAGGACUUGAAAAGAAUAUGGACAUUUGGAACAAGUCUUUGAAAGAGGUAUUCAUUAUCUGUUUUCUCAAGAGAGCCUGGAAACAACUUUAUAUUCAUUCCAAAAAGAGGCAUCUUCUGAGAAGUCACACCAAAGGUAAUUUGCAUCCUUAUCUAAUGAGGGCAUCACAGGCAGCUUCAACGAUUUGCUGGAGACUUGAAGAUCCUGUUUCUGGGACAUCGGUCCACUCUAAGCUGUUUCAGUUCAAGAUUUACUCAUUGACUCAGAGGUUCACUCAUUUACUCAGAAUUCAUUCCUAUGAACAUAGAUUAAAUGAUGAGGACAUAAUAUAAAUUUAGGAAUUGCUGGGUGGUUCUCCAGAGGUAAAACACUGAUAGGUACUUUAAAGUCCCUUGUGACAGACAAGUCUUUGGUUUUUCUUCACUUGUGUGAGCUCAAAACUGGAAUCUUCCAAACUGAGCUUGACCACUUAAGGUCAAGGACCUCCCUCAGAUGUGUGGCUCUUUUGGAAAACCGGAUGCAUUCUUAGAUCAUCUCCAGCAGGCCUCCUGCGAACUGGCGUCCAAUUUCCAGCACCUGUCUUUCUCCUUGACUGAUUCAAACAGGUUGAAGCUCCUUGAACAAGGCUUUCUCUCCAACAUUUAACCUCCUGACCAGGAUCAAGACACUUUCAGGAGGGACCCACAAACUGCAAUGGGCCCAUCAGGUUUCUCUGAGAUGUUCAGUUAUAGCCUGAGAGGGGCAUAAGAGAUGGAGACCCCAUGAGGCACAGGGAGGUCAAGGGAGGGACAGGGAACACUGCAGGGAAAGGUGCAGGUGAGCUGGGGUUGGGAGAGAAAUAACCCGGUCCAGAGACCAGGAGGGCCUGCUGACCUCACCCCCAUAGCGUUCUCUCCUCUUCACUGUCCACAGACAGGGUUCUCCCUCCACCAUUGCUCUUUC
ensembl:lncRNA